rnacentral:tRNA from 1 species
AUGUUUGUCCGAGUGGUUAAGGAGAUGGACUUGAAAUCCAUUGUGCCAUGCACGCGUAGGUUCGAACCCUACAGCAU